rnacentral:lncRNA from 1 species
AGGCGCCCCCAAACGCGAACCCGGGACCUCCGCGCCCGCCGCUGUGGGGAGGGUGCGGCCCGAGACGCUUGGAGGGCGGCGGGCGCCGGAAUCGCAGCCUGCUGUGGCCACUUGCCCGCACUCUUGCCUGACUGACCAUUUUCCGCUCUGGCUACUGGGCCUCCCACGGAGUUCUGUCCUCAGGGUUCGUCAAUUACCUGGAAUUGCGUAACCGCCCGUUACAGGCCAGACCGAGGCCGAGAGCGAUUUCUCCAGACAACAGUCUGGAAUUCCUCAAGGAGCGUACCCUCUAGUUUUCACGAUAGGAUAAAGGGCUUGAGAGAGCACUGAGGAGGAGUCACUUAUUCUGCCUGAGGGGAAGUCAGGUUGCUAUCUGAAGUUGGCCUUGCGGCUGCUGUCCCAUUUGCGGGAGCCGUAGCCGCAGGUGACACCUGAGCUCUCGAAAUGUGGCUGGUCUGAAUAGAGAUGUGUUCCAAGAUUUAGAAGAUUUAAUUUAAAAAGUGAUAUUUUGGGUAUAUUGGGUUAAAUAUAUUAAAAUUAAUUUCACCUGGUUUUAACUUUUUAAAUGUGGCUAUAAAUAUGGCUUGCAUUAUAUUUCUAUUGGAUAGUGCUACCUUGCAGCAUUAAGAUGGAUUUGACUAGAAAAGAUGAGAAGGGCCUACAAACAGUGAGUAAACCCAUUGCUGUUAGAAUCUGUUUAUAACCUACAAGUCACAUUCACAUUCCUUAUUUCAUCAUUACAACAAUUUUCAAAAAUUUUAUUUAGUAGACUUAAAAAAUAAUUGACUCACUUAAGGUCAUAUGUGACAAUCAUUCGUUUAAUGCAUAUUUAUUUUCUACGUGUGCCAGACACUGUAACUAAAUGCUGGGAGUUAAAGGAUUCACAGUCUGGGGAAGCACAUGUCAACAAAUAUUUGCAAUAAAAACGUAGAUUCUAAAACAGAGGAACGUACGCUGCACUUGAAGCAAAGAGAAGUGACCACGUAUGGGACGGAGGUCAGAGAAGGCCCCCCACUCUGACAGAAAUCGUGAGGCAGAGAAGAGUCAGGAGGGCUGUCUAAUGAAAGAGGAAAAUGCAGUAGACACGCAGUUGGGAAGAGUAUAGAGCAUAUUCUAGGAGCAGAUCAUGGGAUAUGUCGGGGUAGUAGUAGAGCCAGAAUUUUUAUCCCGGGUCCUGGAACUAAGUCCAGGGGUUCUUUUCACUUAUGCUACCACUGGUGGUAAAUAUAAGGUGCGUUAAUUGGAGUAGGCUAGCAAAACCAGUAUCUCGGGGCUUAACUCCAUAAAGGCUUAUGUUCAUACAAGUCACAGUGUGGUAACAAGUUGGUUGGGGCCAGAGGGUGGGGUCUGUACUUCUUGAAUUCAUUGAAGGACCAGGCUUCUUGCAUUUGGUGGUUCUCCCAUGCCGAGGCCUUGGUAAUGUAGUCAAAUCUGUGGCCCUCAGAUAAGGGAGGCUGGCCGUGGUUAACUUGUCAGAGAUAUUAGGGGCCAGUCCUGGAAGUGGUGUGUAUCAUUUUCACCCCAUUCCCUUAGCCAGAACUCAUGCGCAUGGUCACAUGGCCCUACCCAGAAGGGUGGCUGGGAAGUAAAGAAUGUGUGCCUCAUGGAAAAGGAAAUGGGCGCUGCUGGACACAGCAUUGCCUCGUCACACAGAGUUAAAUUGAACAUAACCAAGUACGUAAACCUGACUUUACCUGAAAAGAAUGUUUGGAAAGAACUGAUAGAUAUUAUAAUAGCCCAAACUCUCCUCGACUGUUUUGGGAAACAAAUCAGUGUGAGAUUGUUUCCAAAAAAUAAAAAAAGCCAGGUGCAGUGUCUCAUGCCUGUAAUCCCAGCACUUUGGGAGGUAGAGGCGGGCGGAUCACAAGGUCAGGAGUUCAAAACCAGCCUGGCCAACAUAGUGAAACCCUGUCUCUAGCUGGGCAUGGUGGUGCGUGCCUGUAGUCCCAGCUACUUGGGAGGCUGAGGCAGGAGAAUCGCUUGAAACCAGGAGGUGGAAGUUGCAGUGAGCAGAGAUCGUGCCACUAAUACUCCAGCUUGGGCAACAGAAUGAGACUUCGUCUCAAAAAAAAAAAAAAAAAAAGAGGCUGAAUGGUAUCAUCUUCUUUAUACCAGAACCUUUUCUUUUUAAAAAUAACUUUUAUAAUUUUAAAUUUGUGUAGUUACAUAAUAGGUGAAUAUCUUUAUGGGGUACAUGAGAUAUUUUGAUGCAGGUAUGCAAUGCAUGAUAAUCACAUCAUGGGAAUCAGGUAUCCAUCCCCUCAAGCAUUUAUCCUUUGUGUUACAAACAAUCCAAUUAUACCCUUUUAGUUACUUUAAAAUGUACAGUUAUUAUUGACUAUAAUAACUAUUAAAUACUAGGUCUAUUAAAUACUAGGUUGUUCUAUUAAAUACUAGGUCUUAUUCAUGCAUUCAAACUAUUUUUUGUACCCAUUAACCAUCCUCACUGUCCCCAUUCCCCCAUUACCCUUCCCAGCCUCUGGUAACCAUCCUUCUACUCUCUAUCUCCAUGGGUUGAAUUGUUUUGAUUUUUAGAUCCUCCAAAUAAGUGAGAACAUGUGAUGUUUGUCUUUCUGUGUCUGGCUUAUUUCGCUUAACAUAAUGACUUCCAGUUCCAUCCAUGUUGUUGCAAAUGACUAAAUCUCAUUCUUUUUUUAUGGCUGAAUAGUGCUCCAUUGUGUGUAAGUACCAUUUGUUCUUUAUUCAUUCAUCUGUUAAUGGACACUUAGAUUGCUUCCAAAUCUUGGCUAUGGUGAACAGAGCUGCAACAAACAUGGGAAUGCAGAUAUCUCUUUGAUAAACUGAUUUCCUUUCUUUUAGGUAUAUACCCAGCAGUGGGAUUGCUGGAUCAUAUAGGAGCUCAAUUUUUAGUUUUUUUGAGGAACCUCCAAACUGUUCUCCCUAGUAGUUAUACUAAUUUACAUUCCCACUAGCAGUGUAUGAGGGUUCCCUUUUCUCUACAUCCUUACCAGCAUUUGUUAUUGCCUGCUUUUUGAAUAUAAGCCAUUUUAACAGGAGUGAGAUGAUAUCUCAUUGGAGUUUUGAUUUGCAUUUCUCUGAUGAUCAGUAAUAUUGAGCACCUUCUCAUAUGUCUGUUUGCCAUUUGUAUGUAUUCUUUUGAGAAAUGUCUAUUCAAAUCUUUUGCCUAUUUUUUAACCAGAGUAUUAGAUUUUUUCCUGUAGAGUUGCUUGAGAUCCUUAUAUAUUCUGGUUAUUAAUCUCUUAUCAGAUAAGUAGUUUGCAAAUAUUUUCUCCCAUUCUGUGUGUUGUCUCUUCAAUUUGUUGAUUGCUUCUUUUGCUGUGCAGAAGCUUUUUAACUUGAUGUGACCCCGUUUGUCCAUUUUUGCUUUGGUCGUCCGUACUUGUACAGAACCUUGUCUUAAACAUCACAAGGAAUAAAUUCAAAAUGUCUUUAUAUUAUGCUUUGGUGUGCCAUCUCUUUAGUUAUCAGUUAACAAACCCUGCAAGGUGUAGAUCUGCAUGGGUUCAGGGACAUUAAGUGAGCCAAGAGGCACAAUCAGGAAUUGAGCCCUGGUCUGACUUCUCACUGGGUGCACCUUUAACCAGAGUGGUACUUUACCUUUUACAAUGGACAAGUACAAACUCCUAUGCAAUGUUACAGCAGGGAUUAAUUAACUAUGCAUUGAGUAGCAGGCAGAUGAUUCCAUCUUUUUCAGACUUUCUGAUGGAGGAGUUUCAAGAUCAGCUUUGAAGGUGAAAUGUAGGAAGGGCAUCCCAUAUAGAAUCAGAAGGCAGAAAUGGACAUGCUGUGGCAUGUUGUGGAAUGAAGAACACACAUAUGUGGGGGUGUCAGUCUAGAGUAGAGAAGAAACAGGGAAAUUGAUAGAAUAGUGGAUGAAGGUGGUGGAUGAAGAAUUUUUUAUUUGCUAUAUCAGGUGAUAGGGAGUCAUUAUAUUUGUGUUUAAAAGGAAGUGAUACACCUGAUGGUGCCAAUUAUAUCAUUGUAAGGAGACUUGGUGGUCCUGGGCUGCUCUGUUGAUGGAAUUCUGGUAACUGGGAUGAGUUGGGCACACAGGUGGAUUCUAAUGUGUGGAAUACAGAGUUCCUUGGGACAUAGCAGCAUUCUUCCUGCUGCUGUUGGUCAUAAGUAGAUACAGGGUAUGAACUGUGAGAGUGAGUGGCUGCAGUGGUGAACACAAUCAUUUAAGGUAAAAUAAAGCCAAGGAACUGAGAGACUAGAGUGCUAGCAGGGAUAGGGUUCAAAAUAUUUAACUACUAGUGCUAGCAUGGCAUGGACCCAUCAAAAUAGAUGUAGCCCAUAACGCUGGUGCAGGGUCCUGCAGGCACCUUGUUGUGUUAGAUGAUUACUUUUUGUUUCUGAAUCGUGAAGAGAUCUGUUGAAUCCUGAUGAGGGGCUAGAGCAUUGAGGCAUGACAUUGAAGAGGAUUGACAGUGGCUAUGAAAAUAUUUCAGUAUUUUAGCAAGGAAUACAAUUAUACUUGCACAUAUUCAUAUGCAUGAGAUGCAUUGUCCUCAUGGAUGUUGAAGUCACUAGGAAUAAUGAAGGCAUUAUGGAGAGAGGGAUAGUAAGCCAGUUGAUGGAGUCUUAAAUGAAAGGUGAGUGACCAGGAGUGUGGUAGGUAAUAAUAACAAGGAGGAGUGUGUGUGGAAUAGUUUGAUGACAUGUGCUUCAAUGCAGCUGGACAUUAUUUAGAGAGGAAGGAUGAAAAUGGUACUUGAAGCAGCAAGGAGAAAAGAGAGUUCACUAUACUGAACAGAGACCACUUGCCCCAACACCGAACCUGAAGUAGAGCCUGGGUAUCUGAAAAAAGCUGUCCCAUAGAAUGAGAGAACCACAGCGAGAUGAGAAGGGCAUGCGGAGAAGGCUUUGCCUUGGCCCUCAGAGGAGCAGAUGCUCAGUAUGACAGAUGUGAUUCUAGAGUAAGAGAAGAAGAUUAGGGAAAGUGUCAGUAGCCCCCAGAAUGCCUGUGACACAGCUAGAAGAAUCUCAUUGACAGUGGGAUCAAUGUAGGACAGAGGGAAGAAUGGAGGCAGCUUACACCUGAAAUAAGGAUGAUGUCAGGCCCACAGAAAUGUAACUUGUGGGUGAAAAGACUGUCCAUCAAGGAAAUCAGAAAUCCCGCUGCCCAAGCAAUUCUCAAAAUCACCAUACAGAGAGAUCUGUUCAUGACCAUGGUAUAGACCACAGGGUGGCGGAUGGUAGCAUAGUGAUCAUAGGCCAUGGCAGAGAACAGACAGGCUUCCGUUCCCCCAGAGAGAGUGAAAAAGAAACUUGGUGAGGCAGCCCCACAUUGAGAUGCUUUUCUUCUGAGAGGAAAUUUUGUAGCAUCCUGGGCACAGUAACUAGGAGUAGCUGAGAUCCAGAAAGGACAGAUGUCAAAGGAAGAAGUACAUGGGUCUUUGAAGGUGAGAAUCAGCCCUGAUCUCCAGGAUCAUCACCAGCUUCCCCGUCAAAGUCAGGAGAUGAAUCACCAGGAUUAGCACAAAGAGCAUGAUCUGGAUCUCUGCAUCACUGGAAAAUCCCACAAGGACAAACUCAGGACUAAUAUUGACAUUUAUUAUGGUUGCUUAGAGAUUCUGUCCCUCAAAAGAAAUGAAUGGUUCUCUACUUGGCAGGGCAUUCAUCUGAGUCAUUCUCACUGAACAGGAGUUUUCUACUUACAGACGAGUAUACCUCCUUACCUAUGGCCCAAAAUGGGAAACUCGGGAUAAGGAAGUGUCAUCUUAAGUACAAUCUCCUCACUUGCCCUUCUUUCCUACCUUCUAGUACUGUCUCUGCAUGAUCUUGAAGGCUUUACUCUGUACCUCCAUCACUGUUUAGUAAAUGUACCAAGUGCAUAUGAAUCAGGUAGGUCCUGGAGUCAAAAUGAGACAAACUGCCCCAGUGGCAAAGCCUAGAAAAUCUUCUCUGGAUAAGGGUUGGGAGGCCUAUCGGAAAAUGAUUCCUUCUCAGAAUGGUAAGAUCAUAGACUCACACUAUGUGAGGACAUUUACAUAAUAUACUUUAAUCCCUUCAUUUUACAAAUGAAGAGAAUGCAUUGCCUAUGGUCUCAUAGCAAAGUGAGGACUAGGUUGGGACUAAAACCAGUCAAGGUUGGAACUAGAACCAGGUGUUUCAGCUAGUCUUGUAUGCAUCCAAGUGCAUCAUACUUGGUGAUUUUGAAUUGUUAGAGCUGAGUCUUGUGUGGUUAGGGGAUCAUGUGCAACUUUGCUAGUAGGGAGUUCGCUUCUUAAAAAUUUUUUUCUUUCAGCUCCCCACACAUCUAAAUAUUUUGUAAGGAGAUACUUUGAAAGGGUAAGUCUGGCUCCAUGAAUGUCCCAUCUGUAUAGCUGCAAAGUAUCCUGAUUUAGAAGGGUCCUGAGCUCUGGCCCUGUUUACUUUUUUUUUUUUUUUUUUUAGACAGGGUCUCACCAUGUUGCCCAGGCUGGAGUGCAGUGGCACAAUCACAGCUCACUGCAGCCUCGACCUCCUGGGCUUGAGCGAUCUUGCUGCCUCAGCCUCCUGAGUAACUGGGACUACAUGAGUAGCUGGGACUACAGGUAUGUACCACCAUGCCCAGAUACUUUUUUUUAAUUUUUUUUUUUUUGUAGAAACAGGGUCUUGCUAUGUUGCCCACGGUGGUCUGAAUUCUUGGGCUUAAGCCAUCCACCUGCUUUGGACUCCCAAAUUGCUGGAUUUACAGGCAUGAGCCACCAUGCCUGGCUUAGUAGGAAGUUCACUUAAAUUAUAAUAUAUUCCAGUAAUCCUUGGCUCUGACACCCAGCCAAUGGUCUCUAUAGUUCUGUGUCAACUGCUACUGAAGUAAAAAGAGCACUAGUCUUAGAGUAAGGGGCUUAGUUUGUCCUGGCCCACACAUUCUAGUGGGAUAAUCUGGGAAAAGUUCAUUUUUUUAAGCCUUAACUUAUUUAUUUGUGAAACUGAGUAAACAAAAUAAAUACCCUUGUAAACCAUAUAGCCUAUGAUCUUCUGUACAAAAAUUAAAUUUAUAUAUGUAUGAGCAAAGACUGACAUUGAAUUUUGAAAAAUAGAUUUCUCUACUGGGUAUUAGGCUGAUGGACAUUUUUCUUUGUCUUUCUUUUAAUUCUUAUAUAUUUAGAGGGUACAGUGAAGUUUUGUUACUUGGAUAUAUUGUGUAGUGGGGAAGCCUGGGCUCUUGGUGUAGUCAUCACCUGAAUAGUGUACAUUUUACCCCUUAAGUAAUUUCUCAUCCUUCAGCCCCCUCCCACCCUCCUACCCUUCUGAGCCUCCAUUGUUAUUUCUCUGAUGUUGUAAAAUUAUUUUUUCAUUGUAUAUAUAUGUUUGUGUGCAUGUGUGCAGUAAAAAGGACUUGGAGAUUUUCAGGAAAUACCCAGCCUAGUUCUGUUUUCUCCAGAGAUAAAAGGCAAAGGAAAAACCUGAAUUGAAGUGAGAGAAAAGUGCUAGGGCAAAGGAAGCUAAACUUCUAAAGAAAAAUUUGUCUCGUGGUCUCUUCCCCCCGUCAUCAUUGGACAUCUCAGUAGUUUGAUUCCACUUGGGUACAUGUGACUGGACCAGAUGCCCUCUUGAAAUGCCCCAGACCUAGGAUCCCAGACCACUGCCCCGGCAGUGUUUACAAAGUGUGUUAAACAGAAUCCUAUAUGCUCUGUUAUAGUGCUUCAGGGGCCACCAUAUGUGUUGAAGGGGUGAGGAGUUAGAGGGUGCCUCUCUGCCCUCAUAGCCACCCUAAUCAAUUUGUCUCUCCUUUUAUCUGUUUAAUAGUACUUGAUUUUUAUAGUAGGAUUUCAUUGAAGCAAGGAUUCCAUUACUAAAUCCCUUUCUAAAACUAGAGCUUUAAUGGCCAGAAGAAAUAAAAAUUUCUAUCCCUGUUUUCCACUCUCUUCAUUUCUGAUCCUCCAGGAAAUCUCCCUCCUACUCUUCAUCUGGCUGCUGCAGCUAGUAACACAUUUUAAAAUAAAAGGCUAACUUUUGGGGGGUCCAGAACUUGAUACAUAAAGAAACAGAACAGAAAGACUUCAGAUGGAGGAAGGGCAGAAGCCUCAACCUUCCGGCUCAGCCAUUACUUGAUUGGCUGAGAUAGCACUGUUUGACUUUGAGAAACACACAUCCCUAAUCUGUGUCCAGUUUCCUCCUGUGUAGGAUAUGGGGCUUGGACCUGUUGUUUUUGCAGAUCCCUCCCGUUACAUAGUCUGUAUGCCUCCGGGUUUCUCUCACCAACCUUACUGAGCAGGGGUGCUCCGGGUCUGACAGGUCUUCUGACUUCUGAGCUGGGCUGCCUGCCAUAAGGCACUGCUGCUGGAAGGAGACUCGGUUCCUGCAGCUGGAGUUGAGAGGCCUCCAGACAGUCCCCAGGAAAAGUGGACUUUGCUUUCCAGUGAGUGACAUGACCAGAGACAGGUACAGACAGGCAGCGACUUAAAGCCAAAGUGUUCAGUAUCUAUCCGCUGGCACAGGCAUGGGUCUUUUUGGAGAUGGCUCUCUUAAGACAGGAUUUUCUCUUCUUUUAUCACCUUUUACUCCCUCAGUCUUGAGGAGAGCUCCUGAUCAGUUUUUGUGACUUCUAUUUCUUCUUUCAUCAAAUCCCUGGGAUCUUGUGCCAGGCAGGCCCUGGUGUGGGGGGUGGUGAGAAGGGGCCCCAGAGAGUCAGGAAUUGCUCAGUGCUCAUGGAAGAGGUGGCAUUAGCCAGAGCAAAGGGGCCUCUGGUCCUGGGACAGAGUGGCUACUGACAUGGCUGUUACCAAGAGAGGUCUGGCUAAGGACAUAGGAGUGUAGAAAGCUCCUAGCCACAAAUUCUACUAAUUAAGAACCAGGGGAUCAAGAGGCUCUGGAAACGAUUUGUCUUGUCUCUGAUCGCUCUGAUUCUGAACAUGAGUGUGUGCAUGCCCAUGCACACAUAUACCUAAGUAAACACAGUUGAAAAGUUUCAUUACUCCUAUGAUGCCAUUUACCUUUUUAACUAUUCUUGCUUCUCCAGCUCUCAGCUUGGGCUCUUGCCUCCUAUUUCACAGAGAUAAUGUUCCUUUCUCUACUUUAGUUUUAUUAUAUCUCCCUCUAUAUAUUGGGCUUUACCACUGGUUAUUGCUCAAGUUUUUCCUAUUUGAAAAUAAAGUGGGCACAAUUAGUAGCCCUUCCUCCUCUGGAGAGAGUUGGCCUCCCUAAAACCAGCCUUGGUUGUCCUGGGAAUGGCAGGGAAAUACCAGCUAUGCUAAAGAAACAUGGUGAGUACAGACACAAGAAAGAUGAAACCAAAACUUUGGCUUACCUCUGUAAACUGGGAAUUACUCUUCUGUAACAGGACUGAAGGGAAGCUAAGCAUUUGGAGUAUAAAAGAAAGCCUAGGCCAGGCACAGUGGCUCACAUCUGUAAUUCCAGCACUUUCGGAAGCUAAGGUGGGCGGAUCACCUGAGGUCAGGAGUUCGAGACCAGCCUGGCCAACAUGGUGAAACCCCAUCUCUACUAAAAAUACAAAAAUUAGCCAGGUGUGGUGGCGGGUGCCUGUAAUCCCAGCUACUUAGGAGGCUGAGGCAGGCGACUCACUUGAAACCGGGAGGCAGAGGUUGCAGUGAGCCGAGAUCAAGUCAUUGCACUCUAGCCUGGGUGACAGAGCAGGACCCUGUCUCAAAAAUAAAUACAUAAAAAUAAAAAUAAAGGCUAUCCAACUCCAGGCUGUUUGAUCCCCCAACUACUUCCUUGUCUUUCCUUCUCUUUAUAGCCAGUUUUUUUUGGAAGGUUAGUCUAUGCCACAAUCUCCUCCUUCACUUCUCAGUCCAUUGUCAUCUGCUUUUUUCUGCUACCUCUAUCGCCCCUAGAGACCAUUCACUUACUAUAUUCAGAACACCAAGAGAUACGUAAAGACUGCGGUUGAUUGGUGAGCUUUGCUGGACUCAGGUGGAGAAGGCUUUGCCUUGGCCCCCAGAAGAGCAGAUGCUCCAGUCAAUUCUGGAGUAGGAAGAAAAGAUUUGGAAUACUUUAUGACUCCCUGUGAUAUGGUUUAGAUGUUUUGUCUCCUCCAAAUCUCAUGUUGAAAUGUGACCUCCAGUGCUGGAAGUGGGCCUAGAGGGAGUUGUUUGGGUCAUGGGGGCAGAUUCCUUAUGAAUAUCUUGGUGCUGUCCUAGUGGUAAUGAUUGAGUUCUCAUUCUACGAGUUCACAUAAGAUCUUGUUGUUUAAAAGAGCCUGGCACCUCCUUUCUUUCUCUCUUGCUCACUCUCACAAUGUGACACACUGGAUCCCCUUGACUUUCCACCAUCAUUGUAAGGCUUCUGAGGCCCUCCUAGAAGCAGAUACCUGCACCAUGCUUCAUGUACAGCCUGCAGAACUGUGAGACAAAUAAACUUGUUUUCUUCUAAAUUACCCAGUCUCAGAUAUUCCUUCAUAGCCGUGCAAAUGAAUGAACACAGUCAGAAAUGGAAGUGAUCUCACCAAAAUUACCUGUUGGCAAUAAGAUAUGUGUUGAAUGAAGGAGAAGUAGAGGCAGCUCAGAGUUGAAGAGAGGUUACAGGGCUUACAGAAGGGUAAGUUUAAUGUAUCCGUCAACUUAGGCCAAGUUAUGCUGUGAUAACAAGUGACCCAAAAUUUCAAUGGCUAACAACAAUAAAGAUUUAAUUCUCAUGCUACAUGUCACUGAGACAGUGGUGGCUUUGUUACUACAUAGCCUUUACUUUAGGACCUAGGCUUAGAGAGCAGCCUUUAAACUGGGAUAUGGCUGGUGUUUGGACUUAUGAAAAGAGAAGAAUGGUGAACUAUAAACUGGUUUUUGAAACUUGUGCUCAGAAGUGAUACCUGUGACUUUUUUUCCAAAGUAAGUCACAUGGCCACAUUUGAGUCAAUCAGGACAGAGAUAAAUCAUCCUCUUACAGGGAGGUGCGUUGAGAUUACAUGGUGAAACCUGAGAUCAAUGGGGUGGGGAGAAAGUAUAAUUCUUCCCCAGGAGGGUUAGCAAAUAUUUUGAAGAGUAAUACAAUCUUCCAUGUUAUUAAUGAAAUUAUUGGUCAGCAAGGAGGUCAGAACCUACUUUUCACCACUUUCUGUCCCCUCUCCUUCUCCAGAGAAAUGCAAAUAAACUGCUUUUGACUGAGAAAUAGAACAAGAGUGACACUUGACAGUUUAUCUGUCACAGGCCAUAGCAGUGAAUAGUCAGGCUUCAGAGUAUCCUGAAGAGAUGAACAAAACUCGGGGUCAUACAGUCCCCAAUGUGAAAUAUAGCCUCUUUGAUUUAUUUGCUUCUUGCUAGGAUACCUUCCCAAUAGGAGUUUUCAAAUAAGGUGGCAGUUUGGUAAAUUUUCUGAGGUUUUCUAUCAUUUAAAAUAUUGGGCCCUAACUUUUAAGAGAGAGUAUCACUGGACACAUAUUCAUAGUUUUGAAAUUUAUUUUCUUCAAGACUUUGGAAAUUUUAUGUUACUCUCUGUAUCUGAUGUUACUUUUGAAAAGUCUGAUUUCAAUCUGAUAUUUUUUCCUUAAUAGGCAGUUCUUCAUCUCUACAAACAUUUUUAGAAUCUUUUAGGAACACCUUAUUUGUCUUAGAAGUCCUCAAGAUUCAUUUUAAGUGUUUAAGUGGUUUUCUUUAUUUGUUAUGUUUAUCUGUCUUGUAUCUAACUUGGAACUCUGAGUACUUUUAAUCCUAGUUUGUUUUUUUCUGUUUUUACUCCAUAUGAAUUUUUUUCUUUACAGCUUUAUUGAAAUAUAAUUAUUGUACAAUAGACUGCAUAUAUUUAAAGUGUGUAAUUUGAUGGGUUUUGACAGAUAUAUGUACCCAUGAAACCAUCAAUGCAAUCAAAAUAAUGAACAUUUCCAUCACCUGCAAGUGGUAGAUUAUUAUUUCUUUAAAUAUGCCUCAGUCAUUUUUUUUUCCUUCUUCCUCCAGGAUGGUUAUUGAAAAUUUUUUGUUUUUGCAUUUCUCAUCUUUUCAUUUUGAAUUGUUCAUAUUUUGUCCAUCUUGGUGUUAUCUAGAAGAGCUUUUCAACUAGAUCUUUCAGCUCAAUAAUUAACUUUUUGGUUAUAUUAUUUUACUAUUUGUCUCAACUAUUUAUUCAUUUUAACCAUUAUAUAUUUUCUAUUUUAAUUAUGAAGUAUACAUAAAAAGACUAUAUGUAAUGUCUGUAUGCAGUAAGAAUGAAGAUAAUUGGACCUCAGUGUAUCUCACCCAGAUGAAGAAAUAAAACAACAACUCCUCACUCCUUCCUAUAAUAACCAUUACCCUGAGUUUUGAGUUUAUGGUUUCCUUGUAUUCUUUUUAUAAUUUUACCUCAAAUGUGUGCAUUCCUAAACAAUAAAUUUAGUUUUGCACAUUUAAAAAUACUACAUAAAAGAAAUAAUAACACAUGUAUUAUUCUGUGAUAUGUUCUGUUCUCUCAAAAUUAUAUUAGAUGAAAACAAUAUUUGACAAAGUGGACAUAGCAAAUCAGUGGGAAAGGGAA